AUAAGCCGAGUGUGUUUGGAGCUCUGGAGGCAGUCUAUGAGAAGCCGGGGACCGGGACCGUGGGACUAUGAGCUACGUGUGUGUGAGAAUCAAAUAUGGGGGUACUUGUGUCUCGAGAGGGCUGAGAAAGCUUGCUAGGGGUAGUGUCAUUGCACCCGAAUCCUUGGGCGCGUUGUGGCCAUCAGAAGCCGUGCAGAGACUCCAGAUGGCGGGAGACACAGUUCCCGAAGCUCCUUGAGUGCAGGCGUCUCUGAGGGCGCUGACGGGACUGUCUGUUGACUCUAAUGUGGAGGGAAGAUGUGUACAUGAGCAGUGUGUUGCCUCAGAACCCCAGGAAAGGACCAGAAGGUGUGAGACGUCUGUGUCCUUAGCACAUGAAACGGGCUUCCACUGCAUCUCCUUGAAGGCGGAUGUCGUCCUGAAACCUCACACUGCUGCCCAAAGAAGUGUGGUGGGUGCGGCUGCUCCGCUCUCAAACAAGUAGACCGGCCAGUUCAGCUGAUCGUCUUCCUUGAGACGCGACAAGGACGUCAAGUAUCCCUCACCAAAUCGUUGCCAAGUCGUUCCAAAUGCCGUUUAAACCGGAUUUGUCCGUAUUGCUUCAUCACGUUCUUUCUUAAAGCAACACGACAUCUUGGGUGCAACGGAAACGAGAAACCAGUUUCUCGUAGCACCAGCAAUCUUUCCUGUCAAACAGUUCAAACUAGGUUUCAUUGCACGCAGACAAACCAGUUCAAUAAACUCCUUUAACACGUCUUGGUAGGGUGAUUCAUUUGGCAGAAAGAGCAUCAUCUUACCCUCGAGAUAAGUCCACACAAGGUGCCUUAGACAACACAGGAGGAGGUCUUCCAUAAGGAAGUCGUUCUGGCUCUCUCGCAAAACACAAUGAAUAUCGCCUUGCUUUCGGUCAGGCGGUGGCUGCGACUUAAUUCGCAGGGGUGCCUGAGCGUCUCUGCAGAGAGGCCAGGGUCACUACAGACAGAAGCUGAAAGUCGUUCACCGCUCUCGUAGUGAGGAGAGGCCCCGCACAGGGUGCAGGCACCCAGGGAAAGCCGCAGAUUUUAAAGCCCUGUGGAAGUUUGAGGGGGCGUGUCAAAGCCUGAGCUGAGAUCUGGUGGUUUGCAGACAAAAAAAGGGCUCCAGGAAGUGGGGAGUGGGGGGGGGGGAGCCAAGCCAGCUGCUGGCAUAUCACUUUUUCCAUAAGCCGAGUGUGUUUGGAGCUCUGGAGGCAGUCUCUGAGAAGCCGGGGCCCGGGACCGUGGGACUAUGAGCUACGUGUGUGUGAGAAUCAAAUAUGGGGGUACUUGUGUCUCGAGAGGGCUGAGAAAGCUUGCUAGGGGUAGUGUCAUUGCACCCGAAUCCUUGGGCGCGUUGUGGCCAUCAGAAGCCGUGCAGAGACUCCAGAUGGCGGGAGACACAGUUCCCGAAGCUCCUUGAGUGCAGGCGUCUCUGAGGGCGCUGACGGGACUGUCUGUUGACUCUAAUGUGGAAGGAAGAUGUGUACAUGAGCAGUGUGUUGCCUCAGAACCCCAGGAAAGGACCAGUAGGUGUGAGACGACUGUGUCCUUAGCACAUGAAACGGGCUUCCACUGCAUCUCCUUGAAGGCGGAUGUCGUCCUGAAACCUCACACUGCUGCCCAAAGAAGUGUGGUGGGUGCGGCUGCUCCGCUCUCAGACAAGUAGACUGGCCAGGUUGGUGGAAAGAAGGAAAGUUUGCUUUAUUUCAGACGCUGGCGGGCCGGGGGGAGGAUGCUGGACACCUGUCCAAAGGCCGACUGAUUGCUCCCCCACCCAAAGCCUUCCUGGCAACCAGUGGGGCAAGAGCUUUUCCAGACAGAAGUGCGCGGGGGCUGCUAUAUGCUGAAACAGCACCGUCAACUCCUAUAUUUUCUCAAGAAAAUACAGGAAAAGAACAUUACUUAAGACUUGUUGCCUGACUAAACAAGGUUAAAACUAUCUACUUGCUAUUGAGUACUUUUGCACAGGGGCUGUCCCUCCUGACGUGUAACUAAAUUUGUCAGCACAAACUGGAUGGGGAAGCCACAGGGGGAAACACACACACAAAACAGGUGUAGAAGUCAUGCCGUUUUCAAAUCCUUUCAAUUCUCGUUCAUAGUUCAGCUGAUCGUCUUCCUUGAGACGCGACAAGGACGUCAAGUAUCCCUCACCAAAUCGUUGCCAAGUCGUUCCAAAUGCCGUUUAAACCGGAUUUGUCCGUAUUGCUUCAUCACGUUCUUUCUUAAAGCAACACGACAUCUUGGGUGCAACGGAAACGAGAAACCAGUUUCUCAUAGCACCAGCAAUCUUUCCUGUCAAACAGUUCAAACUAGGUUUCAUUGCACGCAGACAAACCAGUUCAAUAAACUCCUUUAACACGUCUUGGUAGGGUGAUUCAUUUGGCAGAAAGAGCAUCAUCUUACCCUCGAGAUAAGUCCACACAAGGUGCCUUAGACAGCACAGGAGGAGGUCUUGCAUAAAGGAAGUCGUUCUGGCUCUCUCGGAAAACAUAAUGAAUAUCGCCUUGCUUUCGGUCAGGCGGUGGCUGCGACUUAAUUCGCAGGGGUGCCUGAGCGUCUCUGCAGAGAGGCCAGGGUCACUACAGACAGAAGCUGAAAGUCGUUCACCACUCUCGUAGUGAGGAGAGGCCCCGCACAGGGUGCAGGCACCCAGGGAAAGCCGCAGGUUUUAAAGCCCUGUGGAAGUUUGAGGGGGCGUGUCAAAGCCUGAGCUGAGAUCUGGUGGUUUGCAGACAGAAAAAGCGCUCCAGGAAGUGGGGAGUGGGGGGGGGGGAGCCAAGCCAGCUGCUGGCAUAUCACUUUUUCCAUAAGCCGAGUGUGUUUGGAGCUCUGGAGGCAGUCUCUGAGAAGCCGGGGCCCGGGACCGUGGGACUAUGAGCUACGUGUGUGUGAGAAUCAAAUAUGGGGGUACUUGUGUCUUGAGAGGACUGAGAAAGCUUGCUAGGGGUAGUGUCAUUGCACCCGAAUCCUUGGGCGCGUUGUGGCCAUCAGAAGCCGUGCAGAGACUCCAGAUGGCGGGAGACACAGUUCCCGAAGCUCCUUGAGUGCAGGCGUCUCUGAGGGCGCUGACGGGACUGUCUGUUGACUCUAAUGUGGAAGGAAGAUGUGUACAUGAGCAGUGUGUUGCCUCAGAACCCCAGGAAAGGACCAGAAGGUGUGAGACGUCUGUGUCCUUAGCACAUGAAACGGGCUUCCACUGCAUCUCCUUGAAGGCGGAUGUCGUCCUGAAACCUCACACUGCUGCCCAAAGAAGUGUGGUGGGUGCGGCUGCUCCGCUCUCAAACAAGUAGACCGGCCAGCCCAUACCAGCUUGAAUUUUGCUGCUCCAAGGAAUUAUUUUGAGGAAGGAGAAAGACAAUGUCUGGGACAUCGAGACAUCUCGACCAGCAUCUGGGUGAGUCCCCCGCUGUGUAUCCAAGGCUCCUUCAACAUGUACAUCUGAGGAACAUUUGUUUCCAUCUGGGAACACUGAGUGCCUGUCUGGUUAGUUUUCAUGUUGGAAAUCCCACCUGUGAGGUCUAAGGACUAAGGUCAUGGACUUGGCAGAAAUUGGAAACAGCCACUCUGAGCUUUAUGCUUUCUGGUGUCCUUCCCCUCGUAUAAGGUUUCCAUCAGCUAAUGAGAUCUGGUUUGAAUUUCGCUCAUGGGUGUCUGAUCAAAAAUGGGAAAUGCUCCUUUGAUUUCCUCUGAUAACCUCCUAGGACACAUUUUGGAUGACUGGUGCAAAAUGACCUACACGUUUAAACCUAUCAAUAAGGACAAAAUAGUUUAACACCAUGUAGUCACAAUAUUAGACUUUAGACUUUGGAGAAAAUGGUUGAGAUGAAACUCCUUUGAAAUUUCAGAACUGGUUCUUUUUGCAUGUGCAGUUGGAGAGAGACAGCUUGAUGACACAUUGUAGUUUUCUAGAACACUCACCCUGAGAGAACAAAGAUAUUCUUAGGAGAAAAGUUGAUGUUAAGCUUCACCAUGUCCCUAAAUAUUAAUACAAACACAGCCCACAUUGCCUGCGUUUCAGCCUUGGCUUAUUUAGAAGAACUGAAACCGAGCCGGGAGACGGGUGGAAGGAGGAAAGAAAAAGAAGCCUUUGACCUCAAGUGUGACUAUUUGAUGGUUCUCUCUGUUUUUCAUCAACUGACAAGUUUAAUUGCAGUGCCUGAUUCAUGAAAUGUAAAAUGAUGAUGAAACAGAUCUCUGCUCGUGUGUAUGUCUCCGUGUGUGUCUUUGUCUUUAGAAAAUAUUCCUGAGAUUAACUUCUAAAUGAGCUCUAUUCCAUUGACUAAAAGUACAAUAAGCACUUACAAAUGGAGUAUUUCUGAGUCACAAAAUCUUGGAAAUGUUCAGUAUUAAGUCUCUGUCUGGCACUGACAUCAGUUUAGCUUGUUAACUGUGUCUGAUUACUGGAGACACAAGACACCAACAUUCUUUCACUGUACUUAGUUCUA